rnacentral:rRNA from 1 species
AUUGAACGCUGGCGGCAGGCCUAACACAUGCAAGUCGAGCGGCAGCGCGGGGGCAACCCUGGCGGCGAGCGGCGAACGGGUGAGUAAUACAUGGGAAUCUGCCUGGUAGUGGGGGAUAACUCUGGGAAACUAGAGGUAAUACCGCAUACGUCCUACGGGAGAAAGGGGGGGAUCUUCGGACCUCUCGCUAUCAGAGGAGCCCAUGUCCGAUUAGCUAGUUGGUGAGGUAAAGGCUCACCAAGGCGACGAUCGGUAACUGGUCUGAGAGGAUGGUCAGUCACACUGGAACUGAGACACGGUCCAGACUCCUACGGGAGGCAGCAGUGGGGAAUAUUGGACAAUGGGGGGCAACCCUGAUCCAGCCAUGCCGCGUGUGUGAAGAAGGCCUUCGGGUUGUAAGCGACUUAAGUUGGGGAGGGAAGGCGUCGUACGU